AUCCUUUUCAGUUCACAGGUAUGAUGUUUGGGUUUUCAUGGUGCUAUAUCAGAUGUCCCUCCCUAUAAACCUUGUUAUGAUGUCAGAACAUACCUAUCCUAUG
ensembl:snoRNA